AUGAACGCUAGCUACAGGCUUAACACAUGCAAGUCGAGGGGCAGCAUGGUCUUAGCUUGCUAAGGCCGAUGGCGACCGGCGCACGGGUGAGUAACACGUAUCCAACCUGCCGUCUACUCUUGGACAGCCUUCUGAAAGGAAGAUUAAUACAAGAUGGCAUCAUGAGUCCGCAUGUUCACAUGAUUAAAGGUAUUCCGGUAGACGAUGGGGAUGCGUUCCAUUAGAUAGUAGGCGGGGUAACGGCCCACCUAGUCUUCGAUGGAUAGGGGUUCUGAGAGGAAGGUCCCCCACAUUGGAACUGAGACACGGUCCAAACUCCUACGGGAGGCAGCAGUGAGGAAUAUUGGUCAAUGGGCGAGAGCCUGAACCAGCCAAGUAGCGUGAAGGAUGACUGCCCUAUGGGUUGUAAACUUCUUUUAUAAAGGAAUAAAGUCGGGUAUGGAUACCCGUUUGCAUGUACUUUAUGAAUAAGGAUCGGCUAACUCCGUGCCAGCAGCCGCGGUAAUACGGAGGAUCCGAGCGUUAUCCGGAUUUAUUGGGUUUAAAGGGAGCGUAGAUGGAUGUUUAAGUCAGUUGUGAAAGUUUGCGGCUCAACCGUAAAAUUGCAGUUGAUACUGGAUAUCUUGAGUGCAGUUGAGGCAGGCGGAAUUCGUGGUGUAGCGGUGAAAUGCUUAGAUAUCACGAAGAACUCCGAUUGCGAAGGCAGCCUGCUAAGCUGCAACUGACAUUGAGGCUCGAAAGUGUGGGUAUCAAACAGGAUUAGAUACCCUGGUAGUCCACACGGUAAACGAUGAAUACUCGCUGUUUGCGAUAUACAGCAAGCGGCCAAGCGAAAGCGUUAAGUAUUCCACCUGGGGAGUACGCCGGCAACGGUGAAACUCAAAGGAAUUGACGGGGGCCCGCACAAGCGGAGGAACAUGUGGUUUAAUUCGAUGAUACGCGAGGAACCUUACCCGGGCUUAAAUUGCAGAUGAAUUACGGUGAAAGCCGUAAGCCGCAAGGCAUCUGUGAAGGUGCUGCAUGGUUGUCGUCAGCUCGUGCCGUGAGGUGUCGGCUUAAGUGCCAUAACGAGCGCAACCCUUGUUGUCAGUUACUAACAGGUUCCGCUGAGGACUCUGACAAGACUGCCAUCGUAAGAUGUGAGGAAGGUGGGGAUGACGUCAAAUCAGCACGGCCCUUACGUCCGGGGCUACACACGUGUUACAAUGGGGGGUACAGAGGGCCGCUACCACGCGAGUGGAUGCCAAUCCCAAAAACCUCUCUCAGUUCGGACCGGAGUCUGCAACCCGACUCCACGAAGCUGGAUUCGCUAGUAAUCGCGCAUCAGCCACGGCGCGGUGAAUACGUUCCCGGGCCUUGUACACACCGCCCGUCAAGCCAUGGGAGCCGGGGGUACCUGAAGUGCGUAACCGCGAGGAGCGCCCUAGGGUAAAACUGGUGACUGGGGCU
rnacentral:rRNA from 1 species